rnacentral:rRNA from 1 species
UACGUAGGGUGCGAGCGUUGUCCGGAAUUAUUGGGCGUAAAGGGCUCGUAGGCGGUUUGUCGCGUCGGGAGUGAAAUCCUACGGCUUAACUGUGGGCUUGCUUUCGAUACGGGCAGACUAGAGGUAUGCAGGGGAGAACGGAAUUCCUGGUGUAGCGGUGAAAUGCGCAGAUAUCAGGAGGAACACCGGUGGCGAAGGCGGCAUCCUGGACCAAUAUUGACGCUGAGGAGCGAAAGCCAGGGGAGCAAACGGG